rnacentral:rRNA from 1 species
GGAUAUUUGACAAUGGGCGACAGCCUGAUCCCGCCCUGCCGCGGGUGUGAAGGAGGGCUUCGGGUUGUAAAGCACUUUAUGUUGGGAGGGAGGGUUGUAGAUAAAUUAACUGCACUUUUUGCGUUACCGGAAGAAUAAGCCCCGGCUCACUUCGGUCCCGGCACCGCGGUAAUACGAAGGGUGCAAGCGUUAAUCGGAAUUACUGGGCGUAAAGCGCGCGUAGGUGGUUUGUUAAGUUGGAAGUGAAAGCCCCGGGCUCAACCUGGGAACGGCUUUCAAAACUGGCAAGCUAGAGUAUGGCAGAGGGUGGUGGAAUUUCCUGUGUAGCGGUGAAAUGCGUAGAUAUAGGAAGGAACACCAGUGGCGAAGGCGACCACCUGGGCUAAUACUGACACUGAGGUGCGAAAGCGUGGGGAGCAAACAGG